GUGAUCCAAUCAGUUGCAACAGGUAGUGGGAUGUGCCGGUUUGUACGGCUUUAAUUAGAUCGUGGGAUCUAAUUAGUUGCAACAGAUCGUAAGAUGUACAUAAGGCGCGGCUUCAUUAGUAGUUAUCAGAGUGACUACGUGAGUAGAUAUAUAUAAUAACUUUACGAGAGGGAUUUAAUGAUCGUCUCUUGAGAAGUAUCAGAUUAUCCAUCUCUCUCUAUUAUCCUUCGUGAAAAUCGGUAAAUCCCACAAAAGGGAACGUAGAUAUCAGAAGACUGCUAGCACCGUCUUUUGUAAUCUCCGACUGAUCUGUUCCGUACGACGGAAGGCGUUGGAUCUGCAUCAAUUCCGUGUGGAUACGCGUAGAGGCCGGGCACGUGCGCGGCUAAUCGGAAUUUCAGUUUCAACCGUACAGUAGAUCAAGAGAUCUUAACUGGUCCGAGGUGAUGUAGCCUAAACUUCAAAUCUGUUUAGGUUAGAUUAUUAUUUUACAUUGUAACAUGAGAAUGAUCCGCCGGCACUGGAUUGAUUUGUUUUUGUUUUGGUUCAUGCGAUUCUUUUGUGCCGGAUAAAUUCUUACACCAAUACCGUGGAGGUCGCUGCGGCGCUGCAGCCUCGGAGCAGGGGGUCCUUAGCGGCAUCGUCGUGAGGACCGUGGACGUUGGCAAAGAGGGGUGACAAAAAAAAAUUAUAGAAGAAGGAAGAAAAAAAAAUAAAGACAAAGAAUUAUAGAAAAAGAAAGAUGAAGAUGAAAUUGAAUCGUUAAAAUAAAAUUGCAUUAUUUUAAAAAAAUAUUGCAGUAUUAUGGACAUAAGUUGUACUACUUAAGAUAUAAACUGCACCAUUUAAGAUAAAAAUUACACUAUUUAAACGAAAAUUGUACUUUUUGGAAGAUAUUUAUAUUUUUUUUUCUCUUAUUAUACUAUUUCAAAUGCAAACUGCAUCAUUUAAGAUGAAAGUUAGACUUUUUAAAAGAAAGUUGCACUCUCUGAUAGCUCCUCUUCUUGCACUCUUUGAGAUAUAAACUGCAUACCUUUAAAGGGUGUAGUUUAAGAGGAGAAAUAGUGUAAUAAGAGGAGAAACAGUGCAACAAGAGGAGAAACAAUGCAACAAAAGGAGAAACAGUAUAAAUAUCUCUUAAAGGGGGCAGUUUACAUCUCAAAGAGUGUAAGAAGAGGAGAAAUAGUGUAGAUAUCUCUCAAAGAGUGCAACUUUCGUUUAAAGAGUGUAACUUUCAUCUUAAAUGAUGCAAUUUAUAUCUGAAAGAGUGCAAUGAGAGGAGAAACAGUGUAAAUAUCUUUCAAAGAGUGCAAUUUUUAUUUAAAGAAUGUAAUUUUUAUCUUAAAAGAUACAGUUUACAUUUUAAGUAGGGCAACUAUGUCUAUAAUAGUGCAACAUUUUUUUAAAACAGUGCAAGUUUAUUUUAAUGGUGCAAUUUCAUCUUCAUUUUUUUUCUAUAAUUUUUUGUCUUUAUUAUUAUUUUUCUUCUUCUAUAAUUUUUUUUGGUCACCCCUCUUUGCCAACGGACACGGCACCGGCGACGACGUCGCUAAGGACCCCCAGCUCCGAGGUUGUUGCGCCGCAGCGACCUCCACGGUAUCAGCGUUGGCGAAGAUGCAUCGUCGUCGGAGGCGGCAGAGGAGGAGGGAGAGGGAGAGGACGAGAAGGGCGGGGAAGGGCGAGAGAGGCAUCGUCAUCGGAGACGGUGGAGGAGAGUUGGAGAGAAAAAAAAAAAGUGUCGCGGCACGGCCUCAGCGAGGUCGGAGGCAAGGAAGAUGGGGGGUGCAUGGGCGAGUAGUGGAUUUUGCAAAAUCUGGUCCGAAUCUGCAAAAUCGAAAAAGGGCCCCAAUUUUGCAAAAGCGCAAAUCUAGUGGAUUUUUUAUGCAAAUUGGCCUUUUUUUUAACUUACAAAUUUUAUUUUAAAGUAAUUGUUAUAUAUCACUUAGCAUGAACAACUCAUAAUAUUUUUUUUUUUUGAGAGAUAGGUAGCAUGCUACUCGUUUCGUUUAUUUUAUUUAGAAAUAAAUUUAGCUAAAAAUGUGAAUCGACUAGAAUUUGAACUCGGGAUCUCGGAUACUAACCUCGAAGCCUUUUGCCACUUGGGCUAGGAAUGGUCGAUGUCUUAUAAAAAUUUUAAACAGAAGUCUUGCAACUAAUAUAUUAAAUUAUAUAGAAUUAAUGUAUUAAAAAAUAUAAUAGGACAAUAACACCAAAUUAAGACUUAGUCGAGAUGAUGGUAUUGAAAAUUUUGAAGGAAAAAAAAAAGCGGAGAAAGUUUGUGACAGUUUUGAACAUAGAGAUUUUGAUUAAAAUAUAGACGCAUGAACGAAUGGGAAAAGAUUUUGAUAUCUUUAUUAAUAAACUUUGUUCGUGUAGAAAAUGAUUUUUUUUAUAAAUCUUUGCAGAUCUUUAAGAUUCCAAAUGUGUCAAAGUUAUAGAGUUUGUUUUAGGAGUUAUAAAAUUAUAAUUUUGUAUUUUGUUUGGAUUUUUCACGCAAAAAGUUUAUUGUUUUAGUGAUAACAAAAAAUUUCAAUUUUUAUUUUUCGUGAGUUGAGCAUUGUGAGUGUUUUUAUAUAAUUUUUAAAUUUUGUCAUGAAAUUGCUAAAGUAAUAAAUUGAUACGAAUUUUAGUGUUGGCUUAUUUCGUGACGAGUUGUGACACGUAGAGUUGAGUCGGAGUCUUGAAGGCCGAAAGAUGAAAAGAUCAAGAUCGAAAACUCAAAGACUGAAAAAAUAAAGCACACGAAUCUAGGUAAAUUUACAUAAAGUUAUUGGUGAUUUAUAUAUAUAUAAUUUAGUAUUUGAAAGCAAUUAAAAAUUGGAUUGACUGAUUUUUAUUCUUUACUAAAGUUUUCCUCGCGUCAAGAUCCGGAUCGUGAAAGGGUGAUAAUCUGUCAUGUACAGAUGAUCCAAACCCUAUGGAGGAUUCGAAUCCCGAACAGCAGAAUUUGCUGUUCCGAUGACAAGAUUCCGAACCCUGUCCAGAAUAUGGAUUUCGAGAGGCAUAAUUUCUAUAAACGCAGCCAGGAUCCGAACCUUGUUUUGGAUCCAGAUCCCAAACCCAAACCUGACGCAGAUUUUUUAAAAUUAGUUUUUCAAUCCUAAUCUAAUUCUAAUUACUUUCAAAACUAUAAAUAAGAUGUAAUGGUGUUUCUAAAAUGUGAAAAAUAAUUACUUUUUAGAUAUCCUAAAAACUUGUGGGUUGCUUCUUCUCUCAUCUUCUACAUCAGGUUUCUCUCAAAUUAAUUUUUAGUGUCCUAAAUUUUGAUAUUCUUCUAAAUUUAAUUUGAGAUUUGUUUAGAAAUAUUUUCUACAGAUUUUUUCAUGAUUCUCAAAGCAAGAAAUCACCAUCAACCCUAUUAUUCGUUUUCCGGACGAAAUGCACUCGUGGAUUCAAGUGGGCAUCGUAGCUUUGACAUGUUGAAGGUUUCGUGAAUUCGAAGUAUAGACGUUUCGUGAACUCAGAAUGUAACGUUCGUGGAUUCGAGUAUAGGCAUGGACUAGCCGUUGGUGUGCGCGAUAUUUAAAAAAGAUAAAAGAGAGAUUUGAGUCCGUGGUGUCUAUAAUCAUCUUAUAAUUUUUUAUUUUUUAGUGGAAUAUUAUCACGUGUUGGUCUCUUGGUUUUUUUACUCUUGGUUGACGUUUUUUCACGUAAAUCUUGAUAUGUUGAUUUUACUUUUUGGAAUUAUUUUUGUUACAUUGAGAUUUGUAUUUUUGGCCUAUAAAUCUAUUUACCUCUCACAAGAUAUUUAAUAGAUUCUAAAUAAAUUCUUGGUUCCCAACUCUAACAAGUUUUUCUAAACUUGCUGUUUGGUAUUGUAAGAUAAUGGACUUCAAUUUAUUUGAAAAAAGUUUGUGGACAAUUGACUCGCAUCCACUUACCAUAAUAUGAGGUCGGAUUCGGCGAGAACCAAAUAUAUAAUUGAUAAUAGAAGAGAAAAAGUAAUCACAUUGAAAUAAUUAUUAUUUUGCCUCAAAUAACAAAACAAAAAAGAAUUUACUUUAACUCUGAUUUUAAACCAAAUAAAAAUUUUUAGCUCGAAAUAAAUUUAACUGAAUUAUUUUCAUUUGAAUAUCAUUGGUUUAUAUUUUUAAUUAGAUGCCUAAGAAAGCGUUAAGUUGGUCAUUUGAUAUUUUAAAAUUUAAAUAUUAUUUUAAUUAAGAAUGGUAACAAAAAGAUAUUCUUGGAAAAUCUGUCCAACCCCAAUAAACUAAUUAAGAGGUUAUUUGGUUGCAUGCAGUUAUAUUUAUAUUGUUAUUUUAAUUACAUAUAAAUCCAAAUUUGAUAUUUGUUUUAAUAAAUUUGAAUACAACUACUGCAGUUAAAACUAUACAAAGAGGCUUAACCAUAGUAAUUGAAACUACACUGUACAAAUUAGUCAUAUUUUUAAUUUCGACAGUAAUUUUAAACAAGAAGUAAGCUACAUUGGGCUUAUCCCACUAUCAUGCCUCCAGUCCUGCCAAUUGGAUCCACUCGAGCACGUGCAACAGACCCGUCAAAUGGGUACUCCUACCCACACGAAACAGAGAAUAUGCCAACCAUUACAUCUAAUACAUAAUAUAUAUUCUCACGUUCCAGAUUAUAGCGGAAGCUCCAGUUACGUCAACACAUGUACAAGAACACAUCUUAUACAUAUGAAACAUCAAUAAAACUUGUCCAAAGAAAGUUACUAAUAUCCAACAACAAUAUGUAUCAGAGUAGAAUGCUGUUAUCAUACCUCAAUAAUGUAAUUGAAAACUAUAAAUAAUGUAUCUCAUGCAUCAAUAGCUGCUGAACAAAAUAAUAUAAUAAUAUCCAAUCAUAAUGAUCGACUCAACAGUCAAGUCUAAAAUUUAAAAUUUAAAUAUAUAUAAUCGAAUGUCCCUAGCCGAAGCGGCAAAAUACUUAGUGGUUGGUACCUGAGGUCUCCAAUUCAAAUCCUAGUUAAUUCACAUUUCUAGCUAAGUUUAUUUUUUUAAAAAAUAAACAUAGCUAGAAAUACCGACCGCCCCUAAAGCAAGUGGCAAAGGGCUUGGUGGUUGGUACCCGAGGCCCAAGUUCGAAUCCUAGUUGAUUCACAUUUCCAGCUAAGUUUAUUUCUAAAUGAAGUAAACGAAGCAGGUAGCGUGCUACCUAUCUCUCAAAAAAAAAAAAAACAAAGCGGGUAGCAUACUAUUUUUCUCUCCAAAAAAAAAAGAAUUGAAUUGAAAUUUCAAAAUUGAAUCUAAAAUAAAGUUAAAAUUUUAAAAUUAUAGUCUCCAAAAUCAAGUAUUUGUGUUAGUGGCAUUAUAUUCAUACGCCACUAAUAAACUACUUAAAAUUUGCAUUUAACAGCCAUUUUAGCGGCAUGUUUCUAAUGACACUAGUUGAUUCACAUUGGCGACAUUGUUAUAAAUGUUGCUAAUACUUUUAGUAAUAUUGAUAUAGACCGCAUUUGGUGUUAGAUGCUUGUCACGUUUGUGCUCUAGCGAAGUCUACCCGGUACGUGCACAAACCCGGUGUGUGCACUAGGCAAUCCCAGUGCACACAAGGCAUACUCAACAAGAAGCACGAUGUGAACAAAAAAUAGUAAAGUUCAAACAUUAUACAUGAGAGAAUCAGAGUAUACAAGAGAUUCUAUGAACAAAGUUAAAUGAAAAAUAUAGACCUUUCACAAGAUAGACAAUAUGUAUCAAUCCAAAAGUACACCUUAUGAACACUAAAACGGUCACUAUACAAAAGUAAACUAAUGCGCCUUUCAAGACAAAAAUCAAAAGAAAGAUGCCGCGGGUCCACCUCUAGCCACUCUUGUAGGCUUUGGCUAGUCGCUAAUCCCUUUCCGUGGCCCCUAACCUGUUCUGCCGUGGAAACCUCUGAAACAAAAGCAAACAAACAAAGGGCAUGAGAAUUAUUAAAAAAUAGUUUUCAGUGGGUAAGACGUCGAGAAGAGCGAAAUACACUACUAGAUUAACUGAGGCAAGAUUAGUUGAUAGUUGAAAUGAAAAGCUAGUAUAUACGAGCUGAAAUAUACUUUCUUCUUCAAGCUCCACUCCAAGUCUUAGGAGCAAGCAUCCAUGGUGGAAAAGAAAAAAAGAAGGAAAAAUCCAAGGGAGAAGGAAGGAAGACCCACCUUCUCUUGUUUCCUUCACCCUCUCCAAAUGAGAGAAGUAGAGGGGGUGAAAUGGGUAUAAACCCAUUUCCACAAAAUCCUAAUAGACCCCUCAACAAUCAAAAACUUGCGCCUCGUGUGAAAUCAACUCUGCACCAUUGAGUACCACCACACGAAUUGGAGUACUACUGGUACCCUCGGUAAUUUCGGUAUCCAGAAGCUCAGUCCCGCAAAACUCGAAUGUUGGAUUUUUUGAUUUCUAUUGCGUUCCAAUACCCGCUUGAAUCAGUACGGUACCACGUGAGUCAGUACCGAUACUCAGUCGAGUUCUGCAAAACUCGAGGGCUUCUCAAAUCCGCGCUCAACUAAGAAUUCAGUAUCGGUACUCAACACAAAAACUGCAAUUUUGUAGAUUUUGAUGUCAAAAUCCGUUCUCGCGCUCUUUAAGCGCCGAAAAUAGGUCUACACUCUCGGAACUUCAACCAAAACUUCCAGAAAAGCUUAAAAUACUAUUCUCACUCUAGAAUUCUGCAAUUUGUUAACGUUCAGUGUGCUACAAUGCUGAUAAAACUUUUAGCGACAUUCAUUGAUCUAUUAGCAACGUAAAUAAAAAUCACUAAUGACUACUUUUCUAGUAGUGACAGUUAUAGUCACAAACUAUCUAUCACUGUCUAUUGAUUAUUAGGGCAAUAUCAUAUAAUACUAAUAGUAAAAAAUAUGAAUGUCUCAAAAUAGGUAGGUGUCAAAAUUUCACUAUUAUCUCAACUAUAUCAACAGCUCAUCUCAUUGGCUAAACAAUAAUAAUAUGGGCAUAGAAGUUAGUCCGCUAAUUUUGACAAUACGGAAUCCACCUAUAUUACAUAUCUAAGAAACAAACGAUAGUCAAGAUAGUAUAACACACUGAACCAUUGCAAAUAGCGAGGUUCGAGUGUUUGAUCUGUAUUCCGAGCUUUACCAGUUAUUCUGGAGGGUCGUAGACAGUAUUCCGGCCUAUGGCUCGUAUCCCGAGAAUUGAGGUUUAAAACUUGUACCAAAAUCCAAAAAGAUGGAUUGUUGGUCCUGCUCUCGGGUCAGCCUCAGCCAGGCUGUGUACCGGUACAACCUUGAUGGUU
rnacentral:lncRNA from 1 species